rnacentral:rRNA from 1 species
AUGAACGCACUGAUGAAGCUGGUAGUUCAGGCAGCAACACUGAUAGCUGUGAUUCACGCAUGGCUCAUGUUGAUCCAAAAGAGAGUUGUUCGUCGUGGUGAUAAGCCUGUCAUUCAUUAUGGUCCAAUGUUAAUCUGGAAUCAGGAGGGGAUGUCGAGUUUGAACUACAUCUACAACUACAAUGACACAGAGGCUAUCUGGAUGCUUCAAAUGGAAAGAACACCUUUCGUCAGCCUUGUGCAGACCUUCAGGAGCAGGCUGUUACAAGAUAGCAUCCACGCCAGUGUGGAAGAGCAAGUAGUCAUGUUCCUCCAUGUUGUUGAUCAUAACCAGAGGUUCAGGGUUAUGCACAACACGUUCAGGAGGUCAAUGGAGACCAUUUCUAGGCACUUCAGGCAAGUGUUGCAUGUUGUUUGGGAACUCAGAGGAGAGAUGCUCAAGUCACCAACCGGCCGGACUCCUAACAAGAUUCACACUAGACCAAGAUGGUAUCCAUACUUCAAGGUGAGCACUGACAGUAUGUAG